rfam:Acidilobus saccharovorans 345-15, complete genome.
GGGUCCGUGGCGUAGCCAGGACCAGCGCGCCGGCCUUCGGAGCCGGAGGUCGGGGGUUCAAAUCCCCCCGGACCCG